UACGGGUUGAAGCAGGACCGUAAGGACAUGUGGACAGUAUGGGAGGGAGAAUGUUGGCAUGAGUAGCGAGAUGUGGGUGGGAAUCCCACAGGCCGUAAACCCAAGGUUUCCAGGGGAAGGUUCGUCCACCCUGGGUUAGUCGGGACCUAAGCUGAGGCCGAAAGGCGUAGGUGAUGGACAACAGGUUGAUAUUCCUGUACUACCGAUAACCGUUUGAGAGAAGGGAUGACACAGUAGGAUAAGCUAAGCACACUGUUGGUUAUGUGUGCCCAAGCAUUGAGGCAGUCAAAGUAGGCAAAUCCGCUUUGAUAAUGCUGGGAUGUGAUGGGGAGCGAAAUUUAGUAGCGAAGUAGCUGAUUUCACACUGUCAAGAAAAGUCUCUAUCGAGGUUAAAGGUACCCGUACCGCAAACCGACACAGGUGGGUGAGGAGAGUAUCCUAAGGCCAGCGAGAGAACUGUUGUUAAGGAACUCGGCAAAAUGACCCCGUAACUUAGGGAUAAGGGGUGCCACCAUCAGGUGGCCGCAGAGAAUAGGCCCAAGCGACUGUUUACCAAAAACAUAGGUUUCUGCUAAGUCGCAAGACGAUGUAUAGGAGCUGACGCCUGCCCGGUGCUGGAAGGUUAAGGGGAUCUGUUAGAG
rnacentral:rRNA from 1 species